rnacentral:rRNA from 1 species
UAUAUUUGAGAGUUUGAUCCUGGCUCAGGAUGAACGCUGGCGGCGUGCCUAACACAUGCAAGUCGAGCGAACCCUUCGGGGUGAGCGGCGGACGGGUGAGUAACGCGUGGGUAACCUGCCCUGUACACACGGAUAACAUACCGAAAGGUAUGCUAAUACGGGAUAACAUAUGAGAGUCGCAUGGCUUUUGUAUCAAAGCUCCGGCGGUACAGGAUGGACCCGCGUCUGAUUAGCUAGUUGGUAAG